rnacentral:tRNA from 1 species
GAUUCAAUAGUGUAGUCGUUAUCACGUCUGCCUUACACACAGAAGGUUGUGAGUUCGAUUCUCGCUGGAACCU